GUGCCUUAAACUAAUGAGUAAGGAAAAUAUAGAGCUUUGGUAACGCUUAGCUAUGCUCUUUUAAAGCGAACAUAUUUUUGAAGGGGCACAGGUCGUCCCAGAAGCUGCUUGAACUACUUUUUCGAGCGGCUCGGUGAAGCGAUCUACCUC